CGGUUAGAAAAGAACGCCGAAGUACAGUUAUUCAUCUAAUUUAAUAAACGUUCGCACAAUGAGGAAAUCAAAUAGGCAUGUUGUGCUCAUUGUGCAUAAGGCACAGGAAAAGACCUGCAUGAGCAAAAUUUGGAUCAGCAAAGUGGGUCAAGGUUCCGUGCAAAUGAGUCGUUUGUUAGGCGUUAACACGUCAUGCAGAAAAGAACUACCAUAUGCAUGCUGUCCAGUGGGAGGCUGCCUGUGACGCCCCUCAGAAUAUGACAAAUAGUUAAGUCACUAUGGGAACAUUAAAGGCCCUUGUCUGCGCUUUCCUUAACAUCUAUUGGCUGAUGAUAUAAACGAUACCGCAUACAACCAAGUUCAACAACCUCUAGGAGCUCAUGAAACUACAGGGGGUGAGCAUACUCAAUAAUCUGAACCAUGGAGAGAACAACAAGGCGCCAUUGUAGGUUUAUUCAAGAGACAGUGCUGACUAUGGGGAGUCAGAAAGUUACGCUGUGACAAUCUUAUGAUUCUAAUCCACGAGAUGACGGACAUAGCCACCGUGUUGGUGUGUAAAUGACUCUGAACUACAAUGUUUUAGUAUAAUUACUAUGUGCUACAAUAAAUGGUUAUGAGCAACUGUGAACAAUGACUGUACAAAAUAUGAACUACAAUAAACAUCUUCAUGUAUCAUCUCAGAACCACAUUGAAAAACUAUGAACAUAUGUGAACCAUUUUAAAUUAUUUUUAACAACUCUGAGCUAAUAUAAAAGUGGACUUGUUUGUAUCACUCAUCAACUUCUAUCGAACAAAAAUGAACUACGACUCACAUCAGUGCUAUUUGCUACUCCUAUGAAGUUUUAGGCAAAGAAGACGUUAUUGGGUGCCCUCACAAAAAAAAUUCAGCAGACGACAUAUUAGCAGAAGAUAAAUUUCCCAGCAUGCAAAGGGCUAACAGCGAGGGUGCCUUACAGACCAGCUUGGACUGCUGGACUUUCUAAUACUCAACUCACACUGGGACCAGAGACUUCCAAAUUCCAUAGCUUACAAGCCAACAGCACGGGACUCGAUUGCUGCAUGCGGAUCUGCAUAGCUAAAUUAAAACAAAGAAUGCAAAUGUCUCCAGCCAGGCCUUUUUCUGCCUAUCUUACAGGUCCGAUAGUCGGACCCAUUCCCCAAGCCAAAUAUGCAUUGAAGAUAGCAACUUAAUAUUUGGCAUGCAUGUGCAUCAACGGAGCUGCACAUUUUGAGUGGUGAAAGGUAAAGGGAAUCUUUCAACUGGUCAAAGGUAAAAAAAUAAAAAAUAAAAAUAAUAAAAGCGUGGCAUAAGGAGGCAUAGUGUUUCUGACAAAUACAUCUUUUGUUUCUUAUGAAAGAAAUCCAUUGUCCUUCAAUUAAAACUUUUUUUCUUACGAAGUUUGUUGUUUUUGGCAAAAAUCAUAAGUUUAGAAAAUGCCUUAUAGUAUAUAUUUAUCUUCGAUAAUCUUUGAUAUAUAUAAAUUGUUGACAGGUGUUAUCAAACUAAUAAGCAGAUUAGCUUAAUCAGCCUACACAUAACAAUUUUUUUUAAACAGUAAAUUGACGUGUUUUAUCAAUGAUCUCUUUUACCAAAUCAAUUAGCUGAUGAGACUUAAUCAGUCCAGCAAAGUGUUGACAGACUUAAUCAAUCGUCCAUAAUCGGUGCCGAUUGUCCUUUAGCACGAUAAAAUCAGAUUAUCCUGGACAAUACAUUCACAAGGUGCCAAUUGUUUGGGAAAGCACUAAAACGCAUGUUGCUGAUUGUACUAAUACCAUUUGGCUCCUAAUGUAUCCCGGAAAAAAAUACUUUUUUGAAAAACCCACUUAUCUGCUGAUACAAAUAAAGCUGACCCAUUUAUAAUCCUUUCAAAAUCACACAUCGUAUCAACCGUUAUGAUUCAAAGUAAGCUAUCAUUGGUUGAUAUAAUGGACCAGCUUUGUUAAAAAUGUACCGUGGUGAUUAGUGGGUUUUUCUAAACGUGUGCUUUUCCGGGAUAUUAGUCAAUUGACAGUAUUUCAACUAAAUGUAGACUAAUAUUAACAUUUGCCUAUUUUCUCUUUUUAAAAGUUUAUUGAUUAAGUAAUGAUGAUUAUAGAGUACAAAUAUAUCAAUACCAAAAAAUUGAGCGGUUACAUAUAUAUAAUGUAUGCAGCUUUGCAGCCAAUAUAGAUAUUGUUGAAAAAUGCUGCCAAUAGGGAUAGAAAAAAAACUAAUCACAUAUGAUUGGAUAAUUGCCAUAUAUUUAACAACACAAAAAUAUAAAUAUUACGGUAAUGUAAAAUUGUGAAAGUGCAAUAUGAUGUGAAAUUACAAUUACUUAUAAAUCACAAAAAUUGAAGUAUAAAUAAAAAAAAACAAAAAAA